rnacentral:rRNA from 1 species
ACGGGUGAGUAACACGUAUCCAACCUGCCGUCUACUCUUGACAGCCUUCUGAAAGGAAAGAUUAAUACAAGAUGGCAUCAUGAGUCCGCAUGUUCACAUGAUUAAAGGUAUUCCGGUAGACGAUGGGGAUGCGUUCCAUUAGAUAGUAGGCGGGGUAACGGCCCACCUAGUCUUCGAUGGAUAGGGGUUCUGAGAGGAAGGUCCCCCACAUUGGAACUGAGACACGGUCCAA